UACGAAGGGGGCUAGCGUUGCUCGGAAUCACUGGGCGUAAAGCGCACGUAGGCGGCUUUCUAAGUCAGGGGUGAAAUCCUGGAGCUCAACUCCAGAACUGCCUUUGAUACUGGAGAGCUUGAGUCCGGGAGAGGUGAGUGGAACUCCGAGUAUAGAGGUGAAAUUCGUAGAUAUUCGGAAGAACACCAGUGGCGAAGGCGGCUCACUGGCCCGGUACUGACGCUGAGGUGCGAAAGCGUGGGGAGCAAACAGG
rnacentral:rRNA from 1 species